rnacentral:rRNA from 1 species
GAUGAACGCUGGCGGCGUGCCUAAUACAUGCAAGUCGAGCGAACAGACGAGGAGCUUGCUCCUCUGACGUUAGCGGCGGACGGGUGAGUAACACGUGGAUAACCUACCUCUAAGACUGGGAUAACUUCGGGAAACCGGAGCUAAUACCGGAUAAUAUAUUGAACCGCAUGGUUCAAUAGUGAAAGACGGUUUUGCUGUCACUUAUAGAUGGAUCCGCGCCGCAUUAGCUAGUUGGUAAGGUAACGGCUUACCAAGGCAACGAUGCGUAGCCGACCUGAGAGGGUGAUCAGCCACACUGGAACUGAGACACGGUCCAGACUCCUACGGGAGGCAGCAGUAGGGAAUCUUCCGCAAUGGGCGAAAGCCUGACGGAGCAACGCCGCGUGAGUGAUGAAGGUCUUCGGGUCGUAAAACUCUGUUAUUAGGGAAGAACAAAUGUGUAAGUAACUACGCACGUCUUGACGGUACCUAAUCAGAAAGCCACGGCUAACUACGUG